GUUCAAGUGUAUCUCUCUCGCCUGUAUUUCAAGCUCAUGUCCACGGAGCCCAAAGGGUCUUUCGCCAUCCACUCACUUGGCCGACGGGACGGCAGACCUCAUCCUGGUGCGAGAAACAAACCCUCUGGGCUUUCUCACGUAUCUUCACAGGCACACAAACACACAGGAUCAGUUUGACCUGCCCUUUGUUGAAGUUCAUCGUGUCAAGGCUGUUUGGUUUUCUCUACCCCCUGGAGAAGAAGAGGAGGAGGAGGAGUAUGAGGAGGGUGAUCGAGAAAUGCAGGCCUCCGCUGAGAGUACUGGAGGAUCCUGAGAAACUGAGCAGUAGUAACGCUGCAGGUCACUCACAGCAGCAUCUUGCAGGGAGGAAGGAGAGAGGAAAUGUGACAGCGAGUAGAGUAAAGAGACGAGGCUUCGUGUGUGGGCCUUGCUGCACUAAACCUCGCUCGAUAUCAGUGUGGAACUGCGAUGGAGAAAUUCUACCUCACACCAAGAUCUCAUGCAGAGUUCAUGGCCAGCUGGUUCGUCUCUUUGCCAGGGGCAUCGAGGAUUCUACAAUCUAACAAAAGAGAUGUGAUCAUCCUAACAGAUGACCUCUUUAUUGCCCUCGUCAUGAGGACUUCAUUGGAAGGGAGAUCAAAUAUUAUGUAAAUAAUAUGUAUGAUAGGUGAGAGUCUUAAAAGGUGAACGUAUAAGACAUACAGUGAAGCAGAGAUGUCAUUUAAGCUCAUUUCACAUUUGUUAACGCUAUAUUUCAGCCGUUCCUAUAUUUUCAUUGAAAUAUCGAGAAUAGUGAUACCAUCAACGUAUUUGGGUGAUGGAUCAGUUUUAGAUCUGUCAUUAUAUUGUUCAUUUCACUGAUUUUAUAGCUUUUUUUGCAGAGCAAAAAAGUAUUUAUGCAAUGUUUUAGUGCAAUCUGACAGGUAAUGUUAAAUUUUGUCACGUUUAUUUAAUAGAGGUUUUGCACGUAAGUGAGAGCACUGGUUGUCUGUCUAGGGCUUGUACAUGGGAGUCACAAACAGAGUGAAUAACAUGUUUUAAUGAAGUGGACUCAUUCCAGUCAGCAUUCUAACAGCUCAGAUGGCAUAUGCAUGUACAGGAUGUCAAUGGGUUUAAUGUUCAAAUCAUGAAUUAAUAUAUGUGUGUUUGUCCAAAUAAAGUGUCAUGAAUGUCUACAGAACCUUGAUAUGCUUAAUACACAUGAAGACGGUGCUCAUAGAGCGCAGGAGUAUUGAACGGGAGUAUGAGUUAUUUUUGCCACUUUAUAGGAUUUGAACCGU